UGAAUCAGACAGGAAUGUUAAGGAUGCAGG
rnacentral:piRNA from 1 species